AGCAUUUAUCAAGUCCCUUUAAAGACCCAAUCCGGUAUGAUAUGAAAUUGUUUAUAAUAUAAUUUUAAGUCGUGACUACUUCAGGUGUUUGAUAUUCAGUAUGAUAAAUGUGUGCUUUACCAACUCAUAAAAAUAUAAUGGAAGAUUCAGUGAUCUAUAUAUAACAUACAUACAUAAUAUCAUAUCCCACCAAGUGUGCUUAUUCAUCCCACUGAAUGAAAGUGUAUUCCCCUUCCCUGGCCUCUUUCAGGUCUUUUCUCUAUCCUCAUCUUCUCAAUGAAGACUUUCCUAUAUAUCCUAUUUAAAAUUGCAAACUCCCCCACCCUAUUCCUGCAUUUCUUAAUCUCUUCUUGUUUUUCGCUUUUCUCCAUCAUACAUACUUAUAUACUAAACAUUAUAUAUCCUGGCUCUAUCUAUCACUGCCUCUGCAAUCUUGGUAAAUCUACUUAACAUCUCAAUUCCUCAUUUUCCCUAGGUAUAAAACAGCAUGAAGAAAAGCAUCCAACUCUUCUUCAUCUGGAUGCCUCACAGCUUCAAGAGCCUAUGUAGCAUCCACUCUUACCCUCCUAGAACCCUGAGACAUUUAUGUGAAAAAGUCUGGGAUAGCCUUCUUGAGAAUGAGAGACGACAUGAGAAGAGAGGCCCAGCCAACUUCUUGCAUCGAUUGCCAGUGAGUGAGAAUGUCUUCGACCAUAUAAUCCCAGUCAAGCCACUGGAAGAAUGCAACCACCUAGCUGGGGAAGAGCUUCUGGAGGAGACAGGAUGCUGUGAGCUCUCUGGAAGACAGAAAGAUUUUGACAUAAAUAACUCUAAAAUCAGGGAAAGAGAAGUGAGAUCCUCAUGGUAAUCUUGAGAAUGACCCAACCAGAGAAUCUAGUGCCUUGGAGCCAAGGGAGUUUUUGAAAUGGAAUUAGCAGAAAGAAAUCUGGGGGGAAUGGGGAAGGCCCAGAAGAUUUUGAUCCUUACAGCAUGUAUUUCCUCAUAUGCUUUCCCUCCUUUCUCCCACAAUUUAGCAUAACCCUAUUCAGGGUGGAUCACUUUGAAACAUAGGGAGGUAGAUUCUUUCCCUUCCUUUUCACCAAUAGAUCAGAGAUGUCUGGAGGUAGCUGCCUUGGGGAAUGUGUGGCCUUGUUUUGACAAAUGUGGACCUCUUAGUUCAUAGAGGAUGAUGUUAAUAAUUGAAAACAAAUAAAUAACAAAACCUCCAAAUGUAAAC
rnacentral:lncRNA from 10 species